GUAAGACGUGUAUUUUAAUCUGUUUGCAGCCCUAUCCUGCCGUCUGGCCUUGGGGCAGAAUCAAAGGAGAACUGUGCCUGAGAACUAAAUGCAGACUGCGACCCACAUGUUAUAACUUACCCCAAAGUCCACGUUAGUCAAGAGACACUGUUCUGCUGCCAUGGGCCAUAGCUCCAUCAGCUCCUGCAGUCUCCUCCCAUCUGCGUCCUCAAAAGAAUUCAUAAAUUGGAAUGUCAUGCUUAUUCUUGUUUCUUUACUGCUACUAUCUACUUUGAAGUCCCCAGGACCAACAGAUUGUCGGUUGAAGGUUUGACCAUGAAUAUCAGCGUUUGUAAAGGGCCUGCCAGUUGAUAAAGAACUUUCACCUGCAUGAUUUCUUGUAAUCCUUUUACCACCAGGAAGACUAACUAGGAAAUCUUUGGCCAUUGUUCCUGAAGGGGGAAGAUGCAAGUGCUCUGCUCAGGGGAGCAGACCAGCACUGUGACUUCUCACACUGGUGGCACAACAAUGUCUGCAGAAGAAAGAAACAAGAAGUCCUACAGAGAUGAUAGUAGCAGAGACAAAGCAUGGGACUACACCUGUUGGUUUGGCUUACAGCUGGGAUUGGAGAGGAAAUUUAUUUCCAUGAAUGGAGAAGUGUCAGAGUGAGCAGGCACGUGGCACCUGAAGCCUGGGAACAGGCUCACGAGAAUAACGUCAGGGCGAAAUGACUGUUAGAGACUUUAGAAGAUCAAACACCCAACCAAACGUAAGGAAGUUACAUGGUGCUGUUAGUGCAGAAGCUUCUAAAUAGAUGCAAGAAUCAAAGCCUUCAAGAAGCUGAUGUGAUUGGCACUUGGAAUAGGUCUCUAUUAAUUCACAUGGACCAUAAAAGCAGUCUUAUCUAGAAUCUUCCAUUUACAGCCCUUGUUAUCUUCUCCCUUUAUUAUCACUUCUCUUCUGCCUGGCUUCCUAACUCUUGGGUACCUGACUCCGGUACAUAUGUAGCUUCUCAGCUGCGUUGUUUAUGGGGUGUCAGAUGCCUACAUAUCGAGAACUCUUCCUGUCUCUGGGAAUUAGAUGUGAAGAGACAGAAAACAGGGCACAAGACCAUGUACACCUUAGCUCCGAGUUAGAUCAUCUGAAAGCUAUGUUCCUGGACUUCGUUAUCUUAGCUUCCCACAGAAAAGCAUCCAACAAAUUAAGAUUGAAUAUCAUGUCUUCAGCUUUUAUAGAGGGCAGCUGACACAGAAAUGUACUUGUGAAGAACAAAUCUGGGUAUUCUGCAAAAGCAUAGUGGAGGACUUUAUCGUGUUACCCAAAGUCCUUUUUAUAAGAAUCUCUAAGGCUUUUGCUUUUCUGAGUGAACAUUAUAUUUACAGUGACAAGUAUAUCCCAUACAAUGGCAGGGGACUCAGGACCAAGUCUGGCCCCCGAUGGCAGCAUCUGUCACAUCCUGGUGACUGGUGGCAUUCAUUUAUUUGUUCUUUUCAACCAGUUUUGAUUCUGGUUUUAUUAUUUAUUUUUCUGUGGUAUAUUGUAGUUCAUUAUCUAAGUUGCCUCAAAUGUUUAUGGAUAUGUACGCAUGCAUUUUUCCCUGCUUACAUACUCAUCUACCUACCUGCUUAUCUACCUAUUUACUUAUCUACCUACCUAGGCAUUACCUGUCUUCCUAGCUAUGCAUGAGGUACCUAUCUCCAUCAACCUGGGCAUCCUUAAAGUAAUUGAGCUGUUUUUCUUUUCCUUCUUUGGCCUGAUUAUUCAGGCAUUUCCUACAAAUAAUUUGGAGGAAGCAGAGACAGAUGUACAAUGCAGCUUGACUGGGGGGCAGGAGACCUUGGGCUGGUUCCAGCUUUGCCUCAUGCUAAAUGUCGCAUCCUUGGUAAGUCACAUAGGUGUUUCAGUUUGGUCAUCUUUAAAGCGGGAUAAUUAUAUCCACUUUGCCUAUUGAACAGAAGACAUACGUGUUUUGGUAUGUUGACAUAUAUAAGGUGGGAGGGAAGGUGGUUUAUGGGGAUGAAGCCUUUGGCCAGUGGCCUGGGCAGCUCAGCUGGCAUCCUCAGGGUAUAAUUAGAGGGACUUGAAGGUCUUCUAAAUGCUUCCCUCCAUUAACCCUAACAUUUCCACUUUUAGAUUAGUUUUUCAGGAUCCCAAAGGAAAUUUGUGUAUUUUAUGGGUUAUUGACUGAGUGAAGUCAGAUUUCUAUUUAGCUUUAGCUCUGUUCCAUUUUUGCUAAAACUUUUGAAGAAAAUGAAUUACUUCUUAUUAAGUUUAGACUGCUACUAGCUUCGAUAUGGUUUGUAAAUUAGAAUAUCUUUUCAGAACAUAAUGUCAUGGUAGGAAUUUUCAGAGGAGCAUAUCUUCUGUGUCUGUUCUGUGUGGUCCACAGUUCACUGGUCUACGUCAGCACAGAUCUGGUCACCUUUUAAUGCUUCAGGGCAUGUGCCUUUUAGGAGAGAAAUAGGGCUCUCAGGUGAGAGCCCUGGGCCUGGGAUCACUGCUGUGGACCUUGAAGGCAAGAGCAGCUGGUGCCAAUAUGUUGAUGCUCAUGCCACCUGCUGUGUCAUGAGUAAUACAGUCCUUUGUUUCUGACCCAGGAGCUCGUGUCUCCUGCCAGCAUCCAUAAAGUAGAAUCAGGCUAACCUGUUUGUGUGUAAGUGGCAUAAAGUCUUUUCUUAGACCUGACAUCUAGCUUCCUGAAUUCUGGGCGGAGCUCCUUCCACAGGAACGCCUUCUGUAAAUACCUCAACCCAAGGAGAAGGAAAAGUAGUCACAAAGCUCAUCUGGUGAUAUGACUGGAUCUGCUCCACGUUCCUUCCUUUUGAUUUUCUGGGCCUGGGCCUCUGUUAGCAAGCCUUCGGUAGGUAUCAAUGGUAGUUGACUGGCUCAUUGGUAAAAAGAGAUCCCUAGAGGCAGUGGAGGCCAGCCAGUGGAAGUGAUAAGGAGGGAGCUGGGAAGAAGAGGGAGAAGGGAAAGGGGAGACAGAGGAUCAUUUGGCAAAGACAUUUACUGUCCCUUUACCAUUUUCUGUACCUGUCACACCAUGACAAAAGGAAUAAGGGUGGUGAAGUUGCUCUGCUGAGACAGCAGCAUCCUUGAGGAUCUAGAGAAUGGGGGACGGACGGCAGGGCUGGUGGCCUGUGGGGGACACCGUGUGAGGGAGGAGGACUGCUGGAAGAACAGCUCACUUGGGGAGAGAUCCCACUGUGUGGUCAGGUAGAAGAGGGGAAGCGAGGCCAGGGCAGCGUCGUGAUCUCACCCAGAAAAUAUCGAAGUUCAUUUUCACCUUGCUGACUAGUGCCCUUGUAAGAAUCCUAAAGAAAUCUUAGCCAGUGCAGAGAGCUCUAACCAGAAGUGAGUGUUCCAGGCCCUUUAAGCCCGAUGAGCCUCCUCACACACAUGGUCCACAGAACGUGAGGCCAACUCUCCCCAAGAAGUCUGAAAUGAUAGCAGGUGUUUUUCAAAAUAACUUUCCCUUUAUUGACUAAAGUAGAUAGGCCUCUGUCAUAAAAACUUUAAUUGCUCUUUAAAUAUUUGGCUAAAAUUGAGUCAUUUUCUUUCAGGGGAAGUUAGCAUUCUUAAAUCUCUAGCAAAUGAGAGGUUUGUAAAAAAUUUACCAAAGCACUCUUUGCGUGUAUACACAAUGGUUAAUGGUCAA